UGUAAGUUUUUUCUGGACUUAAAUCAGCCCAAGUUACCAUGUAGUUCCGCCACUGGGCUUGUACGUAUUCAAAGUAUUUUCGUUGUUUUGUUAACUCACAAAAGUUAUCCCCAUGGUAUUUGCGUAAUUAGAAAAUUAUAAUAAAACCCUUUAAACUCCUAAAUCAUAUAAGGCUCCACGUCGCGCACUGAGAAUACCUACAACUGGGUGAGCGUCCCGGCCCCUUUGAAAAUUCUCCAUUCCACUUUUCCGCAAACUCUCACCCUAAUGUGUCUUCUCUGAUGUCUCUUCACGAAACUCAUCGCUGGAUUUUCUACAACAGAUGUUCAUCCAACACCACCAGUUGUGUCAAGAGAUCGUAUACGAUUCAUAAUCUUACAGAUAUGUAAUCAAAUGUUCGUAAACCCUAACUCUAAUGUGUUUGAUUUUAUUUUUAAGUACACAAAAAUCAGAAGGGAUUUCGAUGCUGCUAAGUCGAUUGCUGAUCAAAGAAGUUCUAAUUAAAGUUUAAACAAUUUUCAAAGAGGUCAAUUUCUCGAGUUUCAGCGGCAAGCCUCUUAAGCAAGUGCCUUUCAGGUUGCCACCAUGCGAGCACUCUCAGUUGCAUCUUAUGGACAGAAACCAGUUGGUCGCUGUCAUUCAUGCUUACAGCCAUCUUUGAGAUGAUGAAACCACUUGGAAUGCUUAAA